AUUGAACGCUGGCGGCAGGCCUAACACAUGCAAGUCGAACGAGUGGCGGACGGGUGAGUAAUGUCUGGGAAACUGCCCGAUGGAGGGGGAUAACUACUGGAAACGGUAGCUAAUCCCGCCUACCAUCGGAUGUGCACAGAUGGGAUUAGCUAGUAGGUGGGGUAAAGGCUCACCUAGGCGACGAUCCCUAGCUGGUCUGAGAGGAUGACCAUCAACACUGGAAAUGAGAAAUGGUCAAGCCUCCUAAGGGAGGAAGCAGUGGGGAAUAUUGAACAAUUGGAGCAAGCCUGAUGCAGCCAGGCCGCGUGUAUGAAGAAGGCCUUCGGGUUGUAAAGUACUUUCAGCGGGGAGGAGUUACCCGCAGAAGAAGCACCGGCUAAAUCCGUGCCAGCAGCCGCGGUAAUAC
rnacentral:rRNA from 1 species